rnacentral:rRNA from 1 species
UACGUAGGAGGCGAGCGUUGUCCGGAAUUACUGGGCGUAAAGAGCGCGUAGGCGGCACGGUACGACCGGUGUGAAAGCCCCCCGGCUCAACUGGGGAGGGUCACCGGUAACGGCCUGAGCUCUGAGUGCAGGAGAGGGAAGUGGAACUCCGGGAGUAGCGGUGAAAUGCGUAGAGACCCGGAGGAACACCAGUGGCGAAGGCGGCUUCCUGGUCUGCAACUGACGCUGUGGCGCGAAAGCUAGGGGAGCAACGGG